GUUGCCAUGGAUCCUGCAGACGACUGGCUGGUGGACUCCUUGCGCUUGUAAAUCGUACCAGGAUUUCUAUGCAUUCGACCUCUCAGGAGCGACUCGAGUCCUUGAAUGGAUUGAUGACAAAGGAGUCUUUGUUGCUGGCUAUGAAAGCCUGAAAAAGAAUGAAAUUCUUCAUCUGAAAUUACCUCUCAGACUUUCUGUAAACGAAAACAAGGGCUUAUUCCCAGAAAGAGAUUUCAAAGUGCGCCAUGGAGGAUUUUCAGACAGGUCUAUCUUUGAUCUAAAGCACGUGCCACAUACCAGAUUGUUGGUUACCAGUGGCCUUCCAGGUUGUUACCUGCAGGUGUGGCAGGUUGCAGAGGACAGUGAUGUCAUUAAAGCUGUCAGCACCAUUACUGUGCACGAGAAAGAGGAGAGUCUCUGGCCUAGGGUGGCCGUCUUCUCCGCAGUGGCACCCAGAGUCCUCCAUGGGGCGAGGCUCCGCAGUCUGCAGGUCGUUGAUCUGGAGUCCCGGAAGACCACGUACACCUCAGGUACCGUGGUACUUUGCCCCUUGCUCACUGCUCCAGCCGGCAUCACCCCCCAGCCCAACUCAGCCACUAUAGAAACUGAGUUCAACCCUCUGUGCCAGGUGUUGGGGAUACACGGUGAAUAAGAGGUGAGCCCUGGCCUCUAAGGGCUCCUAUGCUGGGGCAGGAUUAGGCAGUCCCAGGGACCAGCACCCAACCAGCUGAGCAGAUAAUGAUGUCAGUGACAGUGAGGAGCUGAGUAGCCUGCAGGUCCUAGAUGCAGACACCUUUGCCUUCUGCUGUGCUUCAGGCCAGCUGGGGCUUGUUGACACCCGCCAGAAGUGGGCACCGUUGGAGAAUCGCAGCCCUGGCCCUGGGUCUGGUGGAGAGAGAUGGUGUGCUGAAGUUGGGAGCUGGGGCCAGGGCCCUGGGCCCAGCAUUGCCAGCCUUGGCUCAGAUGGGCGUCUUUGUCUUCUUGAUCCCCGGGAUCUCUGCCAUCCUGUGAGCUCAGUCCAGUGCCCAGUAUCCAUACCUAGCCCUGACCCAGAGCUGCUGCGAGUGACUUGGGCCCCAGGCCUGAAGAAUUGCUUGGCCAUCUCAGGUUUUGAUGGUACAGUCCAGGUCUAUGAUGCCACAUCUUGGGAUGGAACACGGAGCCAAGUAGAACCUCUCUUCACUCACAGAGGUCACAUCUUCCUAGAUGGAAACGGGAUGGACCCUGCUCCUUUGGUCACCACCCACACCUGGCAUCCCUGCAGACCAAAGACUUUGUUAUCAGCAACAAAUGAUGCCUCUCUGCAUGUGUGGGACUGGGUGGACCUUCGUGCCCCCCACUGACACCAGCAUCUUUUCAUCCUGGCCUCUAGAAAGGGGAGGAGCUGCUGUAGUAGCAAAGGUACUGAUGUAGGACUCAAGUGACUGCCAGUCCCUGUUACCAGCUGUGUGGCCUUGGGCAAGUCCACCAGCGUCACUUAGCCUCAGUUUCCUUAUCUGUAAAAUGAGGAUAGUAAGAACUACCUCGUAGUGAUAUUGCGAAGGUUAGAAGAAACGCAUGGCUUAAUUACUUGGUAGCUAUUGUUAGAUCUGGGAGUGUAAAAUGGCAGCGUUUUGUCCCUGUCUUCACACUAUCAUAGGAAGAAUCAAAAGAGCUAACAAAUAUAAACGUGCUUUGUGAAUUUUUUUAAAGAAAAAAAUGUAGAGGGGCCAAUAAACAUGAAAAAAAUCCCAGCCCUAGUAGCAAUUAAGGAAAUAGCAAAACAAGAUUUCUGCUCCUCUUGAGUGGUUCUCAUGGGAACACAGGUGUACUUUCCCACACUUGUCCCCCCAGGUGACUAGGUUCAAGAGACAUUUGCUUUUGAUGGCCCCACAAACAUUUCCUUUUGAGGGCCCAUAGUGAAUAUUAAAGUGUGCUGGACAUGGUGACUCAUGCCUGUAAUCCCAGCACUUUCAGAGGCUGAGGUGGGCAGAUUGCUUGAGCUGAGGAGUUUGAGACCAGCCUGGGCAACAUAGCAAGAUCCCCCUUCCCUUAAAAAAAAAAU
rnacentral:sRNA from 1 species